GACGAACGCUGGCGGCGUGCUUAACACAUGCAAGUCGAACGGAAAGACCCUGCUGUUGUGGGGUGCUCGAGUGGCGAACGGGUUAGUAACACGUGAGUAACCUGCCCUUGACUUUGGGAUAACUUCAGGAAACUGGGGCUAAUACCGGAUAUGAGCUCCUGCUGCAUGGUGGGGGUUGGAAAGUUUCGGCGGUUGGGGAUGGACUCGCGGCUUAUCAGCUUGUUGGUGGGGUAGUGGCUUACCAAGGCUUUGACGGGUAGCCGGCCUGAGAGGGUGACCGGCCACCUUGGGACUGAGAUCCGGCCCAGACUCCUACGGGAGGACGCAGUGGGGAAUAUUGCACAAUGGGAGGAAGCCUGAUGCAGCAACGCCGCGUGCGGGAUGACGGCCUUCGGGUUGUACACCGCUUUCGCCUGUGACGAAGCGUGAGUGACGGUAAUGGGUAAAGAAGCACCGGCUAACUACGUG
rnacentral:rRNA from 1 species